AGCCUGAUGCAGCCAUGCCGCGUGUGUGAAGAAGGCCUUCGGGUUGUAAAGCCCUUUCAGCAGUGAGGAAAAGUUAGUAGUUAAUACCUGCUAGCCUUGACGUUAACUGCAGAAGAAGCACCGGCUAACUCCGUGCCAGCAGCCGCGGUAAUACGGAGGGUGCAAGCGUUAAUCGGAAUUACUGGGCGUAAAGCGCAUGCAGGCGGUUGCGUAAGCCAGAUGUGAAAGCCCGGGGCUUAACCUCGGAAUAGCAUUUGGAACUGCGUAACUAGAGUCUUGUAGAGGGGGGUAGAAUUUCAGGUGUAGCGGUGAAAUGCGUAGAGAUCUGAAGGAAUACCAGUGGCGAAGGCGGCCCCCUGGACAAAGACUGACGCUCAGAUGCGAAAGCGUGGGUAGCAAACAGGAUUAGAUACCCUGGUAGUCCACGCCGUAAACGAUGUCAACUAGUUGCUUGUGGCUUUUACGCUGUGGGUGACGGAGCUAACGCAUUAAGUUGACCGCCUGGG
rnacentral:rRNA from 1 species